CGACGAUGCGUAGGGGUUCUGAGAGGAAGGUCCCCCACACUGGUACUGAGACACGGACCAGACUCCUACGGGAGGCAGCAGUGAGGAAUAUUGGUCAAUGGCCGCAGGGCUGAACCAGCCAAGUCGCGUGAGGGAUGACGGUCCUAUGGAUUGUAAACCUCUUUUGUCAGGGAGCAAAGGGCGCCACGUGUGGCGUUUUGCGAGUACCUGAAGAAAAAGCAUCGGCUAACUCCGUGCCAGCAGCCGCGGUAAUACGGAGGAUGCGAGCGUUAUCCGGAUUUAUUGGGUUUAAAGGGUGCGCAGGCGGAAUGUCAAGUCAGCGGUAAAAUUUCGGGGCUCAACCCCGUCGUGCCGUUGAAACUGGCGUUCUUGAGUGAGCGAGAAGUAUGCGGAAUGCGUGGUGUAGCGGUGAAAUGCAUAGAUAUCACGCAGAACUCCGAUUGCGAAGGCAGCAUACCGGCGCUCAACUGACGCUCAUGCACGAAAGCGUGGGUAUCGAACAGGAUUAGAUACCCUGGUAGUCCACGCAGUAAACGAUGAAUACUAACUGUCCGGGCAGAAUGAUGCCUGG
rnacentral:rRNA from 1 species